rnacentral:lncRNA from 1 species
AAAGGAAAGACCAUGUUUGGUUCUUAUCCAUACUUGGGAAAGUUCGAGUACUCUUUCAUUUUAGAUACAGAAUUUGAUCUCAGAAAAGUAGUGCAACUAGUAUUUGCUAACCCUAGUAUAAAAGCUAGUUAAAUGUAGGGUUAGAGCAAGCAGUAUUGAACACUUUGAUGGCUAAGAGGGGUCUUGAGGUUUGAUGAUUUCUCUCUUUCUCUUCUCUCCCUCAUCUGACAAAAGAGAGAGAAAGAGAGAAGAGCACAAAAAACCUUGAACUUUCUUUCUUUCAACACCAGAGAAAUAAAGCUAACAGCAAUCAUGAUGUCCACUUUCUCUCUAUCUUCUCCACCGCCAUCAUUGUUCCCACACCACUCCACUUCCUUUAUGAUCAUAACCUUCUACAAUCUUCAAAGUAUGCCAUCAUUUCAUCAAACAAAAAGGAGGAUAAAAGAAUAAAAAAAAAAAAAAGAUUAGAAGAAGCUAAGCAAAGGACAUGUGUUUUCAAGUGGGAUAGAGGAGAUCAUCCAGAAGAAAGCAAAGAAGGGCCUUUCUAGCUAUAGCUUUUCUUGUUUUGAGUUGCGUUCCUGGUUUUGAGUGAUGGGUCUUUUCUCUUCUCCUGUUUCUUCCAGUCUUUCCAUGUCUUCCUUUUUCCUUUUAAUAUCUUGGGGGAAUCAAGCAUCUUGGUCCGAAAGAUUUGCUAGAUCAAAGCAAAUCUAGUACUUCUAGCUUUUAGUUUCUAUGGUUUGUUCUUGUUAGGUUAUUGAAGACAACUAAGAAGUGAAAAAACUUGUGUGUUUUCACUAUGUUCUGUAAGAGAUCUCUCUCUUUUCUUCUUGUUUCUACAUAUGAAGUACUUCCUUAAACUUACUUUCUACUUUCUGCUUCUUUCAAGAUAAUCUUUUAACCAAGAUAAAAAUAUUUUGAUCUAAAGUUUCAGCUAUAUUGAAGUGUUUUUUAUGCUUGAGAGCAUGAUUGUAAGGUAUGGAAAUGGCUUAAAGCAGAUCUAUCAUGUUUAUCAUAAGUGAAACUGUAGUUUUUUCUUGUAUUAGGGUUUUGCAGUUCAAGCCUACCUCUAACUUGGAGCUCUUUUUGUCACACCCAAGUCUAUCUCCUAAAAAUAUACCAUUUUGGUGUUGAUCCUAUGAUUAAACUGAUAGCAUCAUGAACUUGCCAUGAUUAAUAACUUGACAAAACAAAGGUAAUAGACAAUCAGAUGCUAUCAUUAGUCAUGAUUUUAUACAUUUCUUUUUCUUUCUUUAUGUCUAUAUUGAAACACAUAGGAGAAGAAACUCUUGGAUGUAUGAUAUGGUUGAUCUAAUCCAGAAAACAAUCUUCUAUGGUAGUAACAUAAAGGAUUGAAGUUUUUUUGUUAAGGAAUUGUUCAAUCAAAUAGGUGUCUUGGACUUCCAUUUUAGAAGCAAAAGUGUUUAGCUUCAGUCUUAAGCAACACAAACACUUGCAAACUGUCCAUUCAUUUGGUUAGGUAAGAUUUUUUUAAUUCAAGCAUUCUUUUGUUUAGCUUUUUUUUUUUUUUCCUUUAAUUUUUAGCCAUUUUUUCCCUUAAUUUCCCUGAGUUUGGAGAUCAAAAAGGAAACUGCUUCUGAAAGAUUAAUAUAUUUCAGUUGCUUAUGAUGUUCAUUGUUGUUAAUUACUUUAUUUUGAUUAAUACAUUUCUGAUCUGUUAUAUCUUUCUGGUUUAACAUGAUCUACUUCUUACUUAGAAGGAAUAAGAUACAUAUCUUCAGCAAUAUCUAUUUAUGCUUGUUCCAUUCAUAUACCAUGAAGGAUGAUUUCUUUCCCCUUGAUCACGGUUUUUUAGCUCAUCUCCAUCAAACUCGAGAUCCAUAUAUAUGUUUUUGUCCAAUUAUGCCAGAUGUGCCUAAUACUUUACGAAAUCUUGGAUUUUAAUUCAUUUAAUGUAAUUCAUAUAAAUUUAGUUUUUGUAUUAUUUUAAUUCGAUAAUCAUUUGAUAAUUUUAGUUUAAUAGUUAAUUCUGUCAAAUUUUUACAAUUAAAAAUAUUAACGUGGCCGUUGAUUUAUGAUGUAGGCGUAAAUUUGGUUAAUGUGAAAUUAAGUUAUACGAAUAAAAUUAAUUGUUAAAUUAUGCAAAUAAUUAAUGUAUUAACAUGAAACUCAAAAUUUAAUCACUAGAGUAUAAUUUCAUAAAAUCUUAAAAUUAAUAAUGUUGGUAUAGUUUUUAAUAAAAAUUAUAGUUUUUACUCUUUUAAAAAUCAG